rnacentral:rRNA from 1 species
ACCUGACUGCUAUCGGAUUGAUACUAAGCCAUGCGAGUCAUUGUAGCAAUACAAGGCAUACGGCUCAGUAACGCGUAGUCAACCUAACCUAUGGACGGGAAUAACCUCGGGAAACUGAGAAUAAUGCCCGAUAGAACACUAUACCUGGAAUGGUUUGUGUUCCAAAUGAUUUAUCGCCAUAGGAUGGGACUGCGGCCUAUCAGUUUGUUGGUGAGGUAAUGGCCCACCAAGACUAUUACAGGUACGGGCUCUGAGAGGAGUAGCCCGGAGAUGGGUACUGAGACACGGACCCAGGCCCUAUGGGGCGCAGCAGGCGAGAAAACUUUGCAAUGUGCGAAAGCACGACAAGGUUAAUCCGAGUGAUUUGUGCUAAACGAAUCUUUUGUUAGUCCUAGAAACACUAACGAAUAAGGGGUGGGCAAGUUCUGGUGUCAGCCGCCGCGGUAAAACCAGCACCUCAAGUGGUCAGGAUGAUUAUUGGGCCUAAAGCAUCCGUAGCCGGCUCUGUAAGUUUUCGGUUAAAUCUGUACGCUUAACGUACAGGCUGCCGGGAAUACUGCAGAGCUAGGGAGUGGGAGAGGUAGACGGUACUCGGUAGGAAGUGGUAAAAUGCUUUGAUCUAUCGAUGACCACCUGUGGCGAAGGCGGUCUACCAGAACACGUCCGACGGUGAGGGAUGAAAGCUGGGGGAGCAAACCGGAUUAGAUACCCGGGUAGUCCCAGCUGUAAACUAUGCAAACUCAGUGAUGCAUUGGCUUGUGGCCAAUGCAGUGCUGCAGGGAAGCCGUUAAGUUUGCCGCCUGGGAAAUACGUACGCAAGUAUGAAACUUAAAGGAAUUGGCGGGGGAGCACCACAAGGGGUGAAGCCUGCGGUUC